rnacentral:tRNA from 1 species
GGCAACUUUUCUGGCAACCGGUCAACAAAUUUCCGUUUCUAAAAUCAUAAACCAUUGUAUAUGUGUGUUUUAUAAAAAACAUAUACCUGAUUUGUAAUCAGCCGGUCGUCGGUUCGAGUCCGACAGUUGGCUCCA